UACGUAGGGCGCAAGCGUUAUCCGGAAUUAUUGGGCGUAAAGAGCGUGUAGGCGGUUAGGUAGGUCCGUUGUGAAAACUCGAGGCUCAACCUCGAGACGCCGAUGGAAACCACCUGACUAGAGUCCGGAAGAGGAGAGUGGAAUUCCUGGUGUAGCGGUGAAAUGCUUAGAUAUGACAUAGAACACCAAUUGCGAAGGCAGCUCACUACACGAAUAUUGACACUGAGGCACGAAAGCGUGGGGAUCAAACAGG
rnacentral:rRNA from 1 species